AAAGCUCAAAUUUAAAAUCUGGCGGUCUUUGGCUGUCCGAGUUGUAGUCUGGAGAAGUGUUUUCCGCGCUGGACCGUGUACAAGUCUCUUGGAACAGAGCGUCAUAGAGGGUGAGAAUCCCGUCUUUGACACGGACUACCAGUGCUAUGUGAUGCGCUCUCAAAGAGUCGAGUUGUUUGGGAAUGCAGCUCAAAAUGGGUGGUAAAUUCCAUCUAAAGCUAAAUAUUGGCGAGAGACCGNUNGCGAA
rnacentral:rRNA from 1 species